UACGGAGGAUGCGAGCGUUAUCCGGAUUUAUUGGGUUUAAAGGGUGCGUAGGCGGGCUGUUAAGUCAGCGGUAAAAGCCCGGGGCUCAACCCCGGCGAGCCGUUGAAACUGGCUGUCUUGAGAUGUCGAGAGGUAUGCGGAAUGCGCAGUGUAGCGGUGAAAUGCUUAGAUAUUGCGCAGAACUCCGAUUGCGAAGGCAGCAUACCGGCGCCCAACUGACGCUGAAGCACGAAAGCGUGGGGAGCAAAUAGG
rnacentral:rRNA from 1 species